rnacentral:rRNA from 1 species
UACGGGGGGGGCAAGCGUUGUUCGGAAUUACUGGGCGUAAAGCGCACGUAGGCGGCUUGUUAAGUCAGGGGUGAAAUCCUGGAGCUCAACUCCAGAACUGCCUUUGAUACUGGCGAGCUUGAGUCCGGGAGAGGUGAGUGGAACUGCGAGUGUAGAGGUGAAAUUCGUAGAUAUUCGCAAGAACACCAGUGGCGAAGGCGGCUCACUGGCCCGGUACUGACGCUGACGGGUGCGAAAGCGUGGGGAGCAAACAGG